UGAGGUAGUAGGUUGUAUAGUUCU
rnacentral:ncRNA from 6 species